rnacentral:rRNA from 1 species
UACGGAGGGUGCAAGCGUUACUCGGAAUCACUGGGCGUAAAGAGCGCGUAGGCGGGAUAGCAAGUCAGAUGUGAAAUCCUAUGGCUUAACCAUAGAACUGCAUUUGAAACUGUUAUUCUAGAGUAUGGGAGAGGUAGGUGGAAUUCUUGGUGUAGGGGUAAAAUCCGUAGAGAUCAAGAGGAAUACUCAUUGCGAAGGCGGUCUGCUGGACAGCAACUGACGCUGAAGCACGAGAGCGUGGGUAGCGAACAGG